CCCAGGCCCUCCAGAACUCUGAGCCAGUCGGGGCCCAGGCCCUCCAGAACUCUGAGCCAGUCGGGGCCCAGGCCCUCCAGAACUCUGAGCCAAUAAGUACCAGAACUCCACAGAAAACAAAAUCAACCAAAACAGAGACACCAGUGACUUCCUCAGAACCACAUCUGAACCAACACAACACAGAAAUCGAGACUCAUCAGACCAGGCAACAUUCUUCCUGUCUUCAACUGUCCGAUUUUGGAUCCCUGUAUGAAGGUAGAUUUCCCAUUCUCCCAGGACACAGCCAGAGGUUGACAUGUAGAGGAGGUGUUCCUCCCAAAAGCACCAAAGACCUCAACACCUACAUCAAGGAGAAACUGACUCAAGCUGUGGUCGGUCUCAGUGCGUUGAUAGAGUGCUGCUGUGAGGGCCUGGUGUCCUUCUACCUGUGUGUGUCGUGCGGUGGUCGACUGUCUUGUAACAGCCGACAGAACACGUCUGUCCUCAUCAACCACGUCCUCAAAUACAGGCACCGACUCAACUAUCUGACUGUUCGAUAUCCGUGGUAUUUCCAUGGUCUGGUACCUGGCCAGAAUCCGGCAGAAGAGUCCAGACUUCUGAUGCAGAUUGCUAAGGAGGUAGAGGAGCAGAACCAUGAUGAGCCUGGCAUGAUACAGGAGGUGCUCCUGAACCAGGCUGACUUUUUAGCGAUCAAAGGAAUGCUGUUUGAUAAAGCUGUGUCCCGUUUGAAGGAGAUCCGUUCAGAGCAGAACCAAACAGAACUUCUUACCAAGGUCACUAGCAAACUUGAACCAGUAGUGGUCAAGCAGGAGAUGGAGUGCCAGGUGGUGUCCCAUCAUGCCUUGGGGCAGUCUUCGUUGCCGCAGAGAU
ensembl:lncRNA